UACAGAGGUGUCUAGCGUUGUCCGGAAUUACUGGGCGUAAAGGGCGUGUAGGUGGGCGUGCAAGUCGGAUGUGAAAUCACCGGGCUUAACCCGGUAACUGCAUCCGAAACUGCACGUCUUGAGUGCAGAAGAGGAGAGUGGAAUUCCCAGUGUAGCGGUGAAAUGCGUAGAUAUUGGGAGGAACACCAGUGGCGAAGGCGGCUCUCUGGUCUGCAACUGACACUGAAACGCGAAAGCUAGGGGAGCAAACGGG
rnacentral:rRNA from 1 species